CCACAGGGAUUCCCCUAGUAGUGGCGAAUGAAGCGGGAAAAGCUCAAGUUUGAAAUCUGAUGGGCUCGUCCCCUCAGAGUUGUAAGCUGAAGAGGCAUAGACCGACGUUGUCUGGGCCCAAUUUCCUUGGAACAGGAAGUCAUGGAGGGUGAGAACCCCGUCCGUGGCUCUGAGCCUUCGUCCUUGUGUCGUGUCCUCGAAGAGUCGGGUUGUUUGGGAAUGCAGCUCAAAAUGGGUGGUAAAUUCCAUCUAAGGCUAAAUAUUGGCGAGAGACCGAUAGCAAACAAGUAGAGUGAUCGAAAGAUGAAAAGUACUUUGAAAAGAGAGUGAAACAGUACGUGAAAUUGUUGAAAGGGAAGCGUUUGGCAUCAGCCCAUGAUGUUCAUCGAUCAUUCAGGCUUCUGUCUGAUGCACUUGAUGGAUGUCGGGCCAGCGUCGGCUUUGCCCGCCGGGGAAAGGUCUUGGGGAUGUGGCUCCCUUCGGGGAGCGUUAUAACCCUUGGCGUCAUGCGGCGUGGCGGGGCCGAGGUCCGCGGUUUAUCCUAGGACGCUGGCGUAAUGGUUCCAAGCGACCCGUCUUGAAACACGGACCAAGGAGUCUAACAUCUAUGCGAGUGUUUGGGUGUCAAGCCCGUUCGCGCAAUGAAAGUGAAUGCAGGCGGGAGCCUUUAGAGGGUGCACCGCCGACCGGUCCAGGGGUUUACCGAAGGAUCUGAGUAAGAGCAUAGCUGUUGGGACCCGAAAGAUGGUGAACUAUGCCUGAAUAGGGUGAAGCCAGAGGAAACUCUGGUGGAGGCUCGAAGCGGUUCUGACGUGCAAAUCGAUCGUCGAAUUUGGGUAUAGGGGCGAAAAACUAAUCGAACCAUCUAGUA
rnacentral:rRNA from 1 species